UACGUAGGGGCCGAGCGUUGUCCGGAGUUAUUGGGCGUAAAGCGCGCGCAGGCGGCUUCGCGCGCCCGACGUGAAAGCCCCCGGCUUAACCGGGGAGAGUCGUUGGGGACGGCGGAGCUUGAGGGCGGGAGAGGUCGGUGGAAUUCCCGGUGUAGUGGUGAAAUGCGUAGAGAUCGGGAGGAACACCUGUGGCGAAGGCGGCCGACUGGGCCGACCCUGACGCUGAGGCGGCGAAGGCGUGGGGAGCGAACGGG
rnacentral:rRNA from 1 species